rnacentral:lncRNA from 1 species
GUGGGGUUGCUCCGGCAAGAUCCUCCGAUGCUCAAGUCAGUUCUCUGCCUCAACAAGAAUGGAGUGCUCAAACGAAAAUUUUAGCAGAGUUUCUAGGUAAGGAGAGCUUAGGGAAUAACAUAUCUGGGGUUCCCCUUUUAUAGGCGGAGGGGGCAACGGAUUGAUGGUGACGUUCGUAACUGCCUGGUCAUGGGCCGCACGGGGCCAGGAGAGAUUUAUUAUGAAGAAUAGUGGGAUGGAGUCA